CGUAGGGUGCAAGCGUUAAUCGGAAUUACUGGGCGUAAAGCGUGCGCAGGCGGUUAUGUAAGACAGGUGUGAAAUCCCCGGGCUUAACCUGGGAACUGCAUUUGUGACUGCAUAGCUAGAGUACGGUAGAGGGGGAUGGAAUUCCGCGUGUAGCAGUGAAAUGCGUAGAUAUGCGGAGGAACACCGAUGGCGAAGGCAACCCCCUGGACCUGUACUGACGCUCAUGCACGAAAGCGUGGGGAGCAAACAGGAUUAGAUACCCUGGUAGUCCACGCCCUAAACGAUGUCAACUGGUUGUUGGGUCUUCACUGACUCAGUAACGAAGCUAACGCGUGAAGUUGACCGCCUGGGGAGUACGGCCGCAAGGUUG
rnacentral:rRNA from 1 species